AGGGACUGCAGCCCCAGAGUGCCUUACCUCCAUGAGGAGGGCCCCAAUGGUAGACUUCCCACCAACCGGUAGCUGUCAGGGAUGGCCAGCUUCCAGGACAAUUGUGACCUGCUUCUCCACGGGAUGGCAGGCUGCCAGCAGGCUACUCGCAAGGGUACAGGCACAACCACCCGCCCCCUGGAGUUCAGCACACAGCACCUGGGCAUGCCUGCACGUGAGAGGCAGCAGCCGCUCCCACCUGAUAGCCCAGCCAGCCGCAGCUGGAGCAACCGGGACGGAGGGCCCAGCCAUACCACCUGCUGCAGCCAUCAUCCAGAGUCCAGACAAACCGGAGAUGAGCCAGGCCUGGGGAAGAGCUGAUGCACCAGCACAUCGGGGUGAUGCACGACAUCCACGCCACCAUGUCGUGCUGGCUGAACACCACCUGGAGUGGUGGCAGCAGGCGUGGAGUGACCUGAUGACACGCUAUGACACCUUGCUGGACAUCCUGUCCCGCCCGGGGGAACAGGCGCCUGCUGCUGCUGCUCCCUCCUUCCACUCUCCUGCCCCCGCUCCUAUCACUAUGGCCCACCUAUCUGCCCCCCCAGCCAUGCCUCUCCUCCCUCCCCAGGCCAUGCCUCUGUUCCCUCCCUUCCCCAUGGCCAUGGCCCCUUCUAUGGUUCCUUGUUCUGCCCCCCCUGCCGCCCCUGGCCCUGCUCCAGCCACCCCCCCCGACCAGCACAUUGGGGCCUCCAGAGCCGCUCAACCCUAAUAACGUGUCCGCACACAAGGGAGCUCAGCUACCCACCCCAGUAUUCCUCCCAGUCCUCAUUCCCUCUCACCCUGACCACCUUCAUUUUUGUUAAAUAAAAAGAGUAAAUUUGAUUGAAAAACAAACCGGUGUGUUUUUUGGGAGGUUGGGGUUGG